GCGCUCGCUUAGGCAGCACAUAUACUGAGACCGAACGAUACAGAGAAGAGUAGCAUGGCCCCUGCACAAGGAUGACUCGCAGAUUCGUAGUGUUCCAUAUUUUU
ensembl:snRNA U6 U6 spliceosomal RNA